rnacentral:rRNA from 1 species
UACAGAGGGGGCAAGCGUUAUUCGGAAUUAUUGGGCGUAAAGGGCGCGUAGGCGGCCAUUCAAGUGACGGGUGAAAGCCCUCGGCUUAACCGAGGAACUGCCUGUCAGACUGGAUGGCUUGAGACCGGGAGAGGUGAGUGGAAUUCCCAGUGUAGCGGUGAAAUGCGUAGAUAUUGGGAGGAACACCAGUGGCGAAGGCGGCUCACUGGACCGGAACUGACGCUGAGGCGCGAAAGUGUGGGGAGCGAACAGG